UACGGAGGGUGCAAGCGUUAUCCGGAUUUACUGGGUUUAAAGGGUGCGUAGGUGGGUCUGUAAGUCAGUGGUGAAAUCUCCGAGCUUAACUCGGAAACUGCCAUUGAUACUAUAGGUCUUGAAUUAUCUGGAGGUAAGCGGAAUAUGUCAUGUAGCGGUGAAAUGCUUAGAUAUGACAUAGAACACCAAUUGCGAAGGCAGCUUACUACGGAUCGAUUGACACUGAGGCACGAAAGCGUGGGGAUCAAAACAGG
rnacentral:rRNA from 1 species